UCCGGUUUAACACCGGCGGUCUCCAUAGAGUGCCCAACUAAAUGAUGGCAACUAAGGAUAAGGGUUGCGCUCGUUAAGGGACUUAACCCGACAUCUCACGAUACGAGCUGACGACAGCCAUGCAGCACCUAAACUAGGAACGUAUUGCUACGAGGACGUAUCUCUACGUCUGUCUCCUAUUGUCUAACCCAGGUAAGGUUCUUCGCGUUGCAUCGAAUUAAACCACAUGCUCCACCGCUUGUGCGGGCCCCCGUCAAUUCCUUUGAGUUUUAACCUUGCGGCCGUACUUCCCAGGCGGGGUACUUAAUGCGUUAGCGUCGACACUGUAGGGGUCAAUUCCCACAACAUCUAGUACCCAUCGUUUACGGCGUGGACUAC
rnacentral:misc_RNA from 1 species